rnacentral:rRNA from 1 species
UACGUAGGGUGCAAGCGUUGUCCGGAAUUAUUGGGCGUAAAAGAGCUCGUAGGCGGCUUGUCACGUCGAUUGUGAAAGCCCGAGGCUUAACCUCGGGUCUGCAGUCGAUACGGGCUAGCUAGAGUGUGGUAGGGGAGAUCGGAAUUCCUGGUGUAGCGGUGAAAUGCGCAGAUAUCAGGAGGAACACCGGUGGCGAAGGCGGGUCUCUGGGCCGAUACUGACGCUGAGGCACGAAAGCGUGGGGAGCAAACAGG